rnacentral:tRNA from 1 species
GUCUUCGUGGUAUAACGGUAGCACACUCGGCGUGUAUUUCAGAGAUCCAGGUUCGAGUCCCGGCAAGGACG